rnacentral:misc_RNA from 1 species
UCGAGCGUCAUUACAACCCUCAAGUAUUACUUGGUAUUGGGCUCCGCUGUUCACCCAGCGGGCCCUAAAAUCAGUGGCGGUGCCGCCGGGCCCUGAGCGUAGUAAAUACCCUCGCUAUAGGGAUCCCGGUAGACGCUAGCCAGUAACCCCCACUUUCUAAGUUUGACCUCGGAUCAGGUAGGGAUACCCGCUGAACUUAA